rnacentral:sRNA from 1 species
CUAAGGUUCGAUUCGAGCGCAGCGAGAAAGCGUUGCCGCAGGCAACGACCCGAAGGGCGAAGCGCGCAGCGCUGAGUAAUCCUUCCCCUACCACCA